AAAAAUAAAAAAUCUUAACAGGGAAUGAAUAACAAAAAGUAUAUAGUAGUAGUAGAUAUUAAUAUUAUGGUCUAGCAUAGGAUAUAUAAAUAAAGCAUAGCUAGCUCAAAGUGGUUAAUUGUUCAGCAUCAGGGUUGUUGUCUAUCCAUGUUGAGGGCUUAAAAUUAAUUUGAGCUCCUCAAAUAGGGAGUGUUAAUGAGCUGUAAAAAAGUGGUCCUGGAAGGUUAAUUAACAAGGAAUUUGGGACCAUUUACGAAGCCCAAAGUGCACGGACUCAUAAGAAGUGAAAGCAUCGAGGAGGAGAACACUGACCUUGCUGUAAAUCUGGGGAAAUAGAAUUAUGCCAUGUCCGGUUUGUGAUGGAAUCAAUAACAUUGUGAAUUAAAUGAUUUAAAAAGUUAUUUUAAUUAUUGAAUGUUGAUAUGGUUAAGACUAUCGGAGACCAUCAGAGACAAUUACUUGUGAUGAUGGAUGAUUGUCCAAUUCUCGGAGAAAGUAUAUGUAAAUACUCUGAUGCCUAAGUCAAUAGAAGCUAGGGAAAUGUGAGUAAGAAAGAAAACAUACCUUGCAUUUGAAGGAGAAGUAUUUUAUAUAGUAGUUCCACAAAACAGGAGUAACCGCUGAGAUAGUUAGGCAGUUACAACUUAUCCAACGUAAAACGAGGAUCGACUGCUAAGGCAAAUUCAAUUGUUAUGCGCCUGUAUCAGACUCAUGCAAAGGCAAAGAUUUUGGUUUUCAAAACGGAUUGGGCUAAGGUCCAUUCAGAGGCACUUAGUAGAUUAGAAUUUAGUUUGGAACAAUUUACCCCAAGCCUCCGAUUUAGUAGGCAAGAGUGGAGGUUUGAAGCAUUCAUUGUCUUAGGCUCAUUUAAUGAAUCUGAUUGCUUGCUUCGACUUUAUUCGCAAUUGUCUGUUAGAUAGCUGGACUCAUUUAGGUACGAUGUUCAAAAUUUAAAGUGACAUCAUUGUGAUGUGAAAGGGAAAAGUGUGGACACGUGUGCCAUAUGAAGGGACUACUUUUCCUUCUCACAUUGCCACGAGGGCUAGGGUUAUUGUUAGAACAGAGGCGCACCUAAGGGGGGGGGAUUAGGUGUUUGGAAAUUUUCUAGUUUUUAGAGACUUAGUUGAUUAUUUUUCUGAUUUGGAUUAGUGUAUGGAAAAAUGUAAAUGGCAUAAAAAUAAAGAACACACCGAUUUAUCUUGGUUCCCCUUACAACCAAUGGUACAUCGAGUCCUCUUGCACACUACAAGAGAUUUUCCACCAUUGUUAGAAUAAGUACAAGUCUAACUCUAAGACUUUUGUUACAAACUUCUAACAAUCUGCCUAAGAUAACACACCACUAUCUUAGUUCACAACACUUGAAGCAAGAACACCACUUUUCUCAAUUUACAAAAUAACUUGAAUGGUUUUACAACAAUGAUUUUAACCGAAAUCAAGAGGGUAUAACAGUUGAAUACAAUGAUAACAGUAUAAUAUAAUUGAAAGUGC
rnacentral:lncRNA from 1 species